CAAUGGAACUGAAACACGGUCCAUACACCUACGGGUGGCAGCAGUAGGGAAUAUUAGUAAUGGGCGAAAGCCUGAACUAGCAACGCCGCGUGUGCGAAGAAGGCCUUCGGGUCGUAAAGCACUUUUUGAGAGGAUGAGGAAGGACGGUACUCUCAGAAUAAGUCUCGGCUAACUACGUGCCAGCAGCCGCGGUAACACGUAGGAGGCAAACGUUAUCCGGAUUUACUGGGCGUAAAGCGCGUGUAGGUGGUUUGGUAAGUAGGGCGUGAAAGCUCCUGGCUCAACUGGGAGAGGACGUUCUAAACUGCCAAGCUUGAGGAUGGUAGAGGGAGGUGGAAUUCCGGGUGUAGCGGUGGAAUGCGCAGAUAUCCGGAGGAACACCAGUGGCGAAGGCGGCCUCCUGGACCACUCCUGACACUCAGACGCGAAAGCUAGGGUAGCAAACGGGAUUAGAGACCCCGGUAGUCCUAGCCCUAAACGAUGUAGACUUGGCGUCGGUGGUUUAAUCGCCAUCGGUGUCGUAGCUAACGCGAUAAGUCUACCGCCUGGGGACUACGGCCGCAAGGUUAAAACUCAAAGGAAUUGACGGGUCCCCGCACAAGCAGCGGAGCGUGUGGUUUAAUUCGAUGCUACACGAAGAACCUUACCUGGGUUUGACAUAGAGGUAGUAGGGAAGCGAAAGCGGACCGACCCUUCGGGGAGCCUCUACAGGUGUUGCAUGGCUGUCGUCAGCUCGUGUCGUGAGAUGUUCGGUUAAGUCCGCUAACGAGCGCAACCCUCGCUGUGUGUUACAAGUGUCACACGGUACUGCCGAUAUUAAGUCGGAGGAAGGUGGGGAUGACGUCAAGUCAGCAUGACCUUUAUAUCCAGGGCUACACACACGCUACAAUGGCCAGUACAAUAGGUUGCCAAGCCGCGAGGCGGAGCCAAUCCUAAAAAGCUGGCCUCAGUUCAGAUUGCAGUCUGCAACUCGACUGCAUGAAGUUGGAGUUGCUAGUAACCGCAGGUCAGCAAUACUGCGGUGAAUACGUUCCCGGGGAUUGUACACACCGCCCGUCAAGUCAUGGAAGCUGGCAACACCUGAAGCCGGUAUCCUAACCCGAAAGGGAGGGAGCUGUCAAAGGUGGGGUCGGUGACUGGGACUAAGUCGUAACAAGGUAGGUGUACCGGAAGGUGCGCCUG
rnacentral:rRNA from 1 species